rnacentral:rRNA from 1 species
GACGAACGCUGGCGGCGUGCUUAACACAUGCAAGUCGAACGGAAAGGCCCUGCUUUUGUGGGGUGCUCGAGUGGCGAACGGGUGAGUAACACGUGAGUAACCUGCCCUUGACUUUGGGAUAACUUCAGGAAACUGGGGCUAAUACCGGAUAGGAGCUCCUGCUGCAUGGUGGGGGUUGGAAAGUUUCGGCGGUUGGGGAUGGACUCGCGGCUUAUCAGCUUGUUGGUGGGGUAGUGGCUUACCAAGGCUUUGACGGGUAGCCGGCCUGAGAGGGUGACCGGCCACAUUGGGACUGAGAUACGGCCCAGACUCCUACGGGAGGCAGCAGUGGGGAAUAUUGCACAGUGGGCGGAAGCCUGAUGCAGCAACGCCGCGUGCGUGAUGACGGCCUUCGGGUUGUAAACCGCUUUCGCCUGUGACGAAGCGUGAGUGACGGUAAUGGGUAAAGAAGCACCGGCUAACUACGUG